GAAACCAAAACCCUAACGAAGCUUCUUCUUGCUUUUAAAAGCUUUGAUGGUGUAGCCAAAGUCCGUAUAAGUCGUUUGCGUUUUAUCUUCUAACAUGGAA
rnacentral:sRNA from 1 species